AACAUUGGCGGGGUCUUAGACUGCAGUCGACGGGGAAGUUGUAGCAAUACGGCUUCUCAGUGGCGAAUGGGUGCGUAACACGUAGGUGACCUGCCCUGAAGUGGGGAAUAACAGUCCGAAAGGAUUGCUAAUACCGCAUGUGGUCCCAGGGGUUAGAGGCCUUGGGACUAAAGACGAAAGUCGCUUCAGGAGGGGCCUGCGGCCCAUCAGCUUGUUGGCAGGGUAAUGGCCUACCAAGGCGAUGACGGGUAGGGGACCUGAGAGGGUGACCCCCCACACUGGCACUGACAUACGGGCCAGACUCCUACGGGAGGCAGCAGUCGGGAAUAUUGCACAAUGGGCGAAAGCCUGAUGCAGCAACGCCGCGUGCGCGAUGAAGGCCUUCGGGUCGUAAAGCGCUUUUCGGGAGGAUGAGGAAGGACAGUACUCCCGGAAUAAGUCACGGCUAACUACGUGCCAGCAGCCGCGGUAAAGCGUAGGUGGCGAGCGUUAUCCGGAUUUACUGGGCGUAAAGCGCGUUCAGGCGGCUUGGCAAGUCGGGCAUGAAAUCUCUCGGCUCAACCGGGAGAGGCUGUCCGAUACUGCUGGGCUUGAGGGCAGUAGAGGAUGGUGGAAUUCCGGGUGUAGUGGUAAAAUGCGUAGAUAUCCGGAGGAACACCAGUGGCGAAGGCGGCCAUCUGGGCUGCACCUGACGCUCAAGCGCGAAAGCUAGGGGAGCGAACGGGAUUAGAAACCCCGGUAGUCCUAGCCCUAAACGAUGUUGACUAGGUGUCGGAGGCUUAAACCCCUUCGGUGCCGCA
rnacentral:rRNA from 1 species